ACGGAAGGCAGCAGUGGGGAAUAUUGGGCAAUGGGCGAAAGCCUGACCCAGCGACGCCGCGUGAGGGAAGAAGGUCUUCGGAUUGUAAACCUUAGUCAACAGGGAAGAAGCAAGUGACGGUACCUGUGGAGGAAGCCACGGCUAACUACGUGCCAGCAGCCGCGGUAAUACGUAGGUGGCGAGCGUUAUCCGGAUUUACUGGGUGUAAAGGGUGUGUAGGCGGGACUGCAAGUCAGAUGUGAAAACUAUGGGCUCAACUCAUAGCCUGCAUUUGAAACUGUGGUUCUUGAGGGUCGGAGAGGUAACUGGAACUCCUGGUGUAGCGGUGAAAUGCGUAGAUAUCAGGAGGAACACCGGUGGCGAAGGCGGGUUACUGGACGAUUACUGACGCUGAGACACGAAAGCGUGGGGAGCAAACAGGAUUAGAUACCCUGGUA
rnacentral:rRNA from 1 species